AUCGCCUUUAGCUAAACAAGUAUUAAAGGUCCCGCCUGCCCAGUGAAUUAUUUUUAACGGCCGCGGUACCCUAACCGUGCAAAGGUAGCGUAAUCACUUGUCCCCUAAAUAGGGACCCGUAUGAAUGGCUAACUGAGGGUGAAAUUGUCUCCUAUUGCCAAUCAGUGAAACUGAUCCCUUAGUACAAAAGCUAAGAUAAACACACAAGACGAGAAGACCCUGUGGAGCUUUAAGCCCAUGUACUAAAGCCAAACAAACAGCCAGACUACAUAGUACAAACUUUAAGUUGGGGCAACUACGGAGGAAAAUAUAGCCUCCGCGAACAUGGCUAACCACCACAACAAGGCCAACACCCCAAAGAGACCUUAAGCCAGACCCAGUAUUACUGACUACCGAACCAAGUUACCCCAGGGAUAACAGCGCCAUCCUCUUCAAGAGUUCAUAUCGACAAGGGGGUUUACGACCUCGAUGUUGGAUCGAGGCCCCCAGGCGGUGCAGCCGCUGCCAAAGGUCCGUUUGUUCAACGGUUAAUGCCUCA
rnacentral:rRNA from 1 species